GCCCAGGUGGCGGAAUUGGUAGACGCACUAGGUUCAGGUCCUAGCGGUGGCAACACCGUGGAAGUUCGAGUCUUCU
rnacentral:tRNA from 1 species